CUUAAGUUGCCUUGUUAGGUGAGAGCAUAAUCUAUGACAACAAACUAUCUAAUGGUCAGCAUGAGGGGCAGUGCCAGGGCUUUAAACUUAAUCUUACAGCUACAGAAUACAUAUUUAACACUUUUUAGAGCUUCUCCGUGUCACAGGUAGUUCAAGAAGAACAUAGAAGUAGCACCUUUAAACUUAAUCUUACAGCUACAGAAUACAUAUUUAACACUUUUUAGAGCUUCUCCGUGUCACAGGUAGUUCAAGAAGAACAUAGAAGUAGCACCGUUGGGCCUCCCUGAUAUACUGCACUUCGCCGUUCAUUAGCUUUAGAAUCUUCCUGCUCAUGCUCAGCCCUAAACCUUCUUGAGUCCCCCACCCACUGUUAUUGAACAUGUUUUGAAUC
rnacentral:lncRNA from 1 species